GGCGAGUGGCGAACGGGUGAGUAAUACAUCGGAACGUGUCCUGGAGUGGGGGAUAGCCCGGCGAAAGCCGGAUUAAUACCGCAUACGCUCUGUGGAGGAAAGCGGGGGAUCUUUCGGGACCUCGCGCUCAAGGGGCGGCCGAUGGCAGAUUAGGUAGUUGGUGGGGUAAAGGCCUACCAAGCCGACGAUCUGUAGCUGGUCUGAGAGGACGACCAGCCACACUGGGACUGAGACACGGCCCAGACUCCUACGGGAGGCAGCAGUGGGGAAUUUUGGACAAUGGGCGCAAGCCUGAUCCAGCAAUGCCGCGUGUGUGAAGAAGGCCUUCGGGUUGUAAAGCACUUUUGUCCGGAAAGAAAACCUCUGGGUUAAUACCCUGGGGGGAUGACGGUACCGGAAGAAUAAGCACCGGCUAACUACGUGCCAGCAGCCGCGGUAAUACGUAGGGUGCGAGCGUUAAUCGGAAUUACUGGGCGUAAAGCGUGCGCAGGCGGUGAUGUAAGACCGAUGUGAAAUCCCCGGGCUUAACCUGGGAACUGCAUUGGUGACUGCAUCGCUCGAGUAUGGCAGAGGGGGGUAGAAUUCACGUGUAGCAGUGAAAUGCGUAGAGAUGUGGAGGAAUACCGAUGGCG
rnacentral:rRNA from 1 species